UACGAGAGGUCCAAACGUUAUUCGGAAUUACUGGGCUUACAGAGUUCGUAGGCGGUUCUACAAGUGGGGUGUGAAAGCCCUCGGCUCAACCGAGGAACUGCGCUCCAAACUGUAGAACUAGAGGAAGAUAGAGGUGAGCGGAACUGAUGGUGGAGCGGUGAAAUGCGUUGAUAUCAUCAGGAACACCGGAGGCGAAGGCGGCUCACUGGGUCUUUUCUGACGCUGAGGAACGAAAGCUAGGGGAGCAAACGGG
rnacentral:rRNA from 1 species